GACAGAGGGUGCAAACGUUGUUCGGAUUUACUGGGCGUAAAGCGUGUGUAGGCGGCUUUGCAAGUCGGAUGUGAAAUCCCACGGCUCAACCGUGGAAGUGCAUCCGAAACGGCAUCGCUUGAGUCUCGGAGAGGAAGGUGGAAUGCUUGGUGUAGAGGUGAAAUUCGUAGAUAUCAAGCAGAACACCUGUGGCGAAGGCGGCCUUCUGGACGAUGACUGACGCUGAGACACGAAAGCGUGGGGAGCAAACAGG
rnacentral:rRNA from 1 species